rnacentral:misc_RNA from 1 species
ACACCUCAACUCUCAUGGUUCGCCGUGAUGAGCUUGGACUUUGGGGGUCUUGCCGGCAUACCGUCGGCUCCUCUCAAACGAAUCAGCUUGCCAGUGUUUGGUGGCAUCACGGGUGUGAUAACUAUCUACGCUCGUGAUCUCCCACCAGGUAACCUUCAGCGAUGGAGGUUCGCUGGAGCUCACAAAUGUCUCUCCUCAGCGAAGACAGCUUUUUGAAC